rnacentral:lncRNA from 10 species
GUCCUUUUGCUGUUCCUCUACUCUGCUUCUCUCCUCCAAUAUGAGAUAUUAGCAAACCUAGGGCAAUGCUUCACAGGUGUUUUCUCAUUUCAUCUUCACAACAAUAUGUUGCACAGCCUGCUCAUCACCCCAAUUCACAAAUGAGGAAAUUGAUGCUUAGAGACAGUAUGUGAAUAUAUGAUUCUUUCCUGUAAUACUAACCGUAGCCUUCCCCUCCAUCCAAUCUCCAUCUUUUUUGACCCUUUCUGCUCUCACCCAUCCUCAACUAGAUAACAGUGCUGUGCCAAAAACCUGUGGAUUUUCUCUACAAAAAUUAUCAUGACUGUUAUCUUUUUGAUGGAAAAGAUGAAGUUCAGCGAAGAACAAAUCUACAACUUGGCCAGAAGACUGUAGACUUUGCCUUCAAAGAGGUGUAACACAUACGUAAAUAAUCCCAUCAGACCCCAUCCACAGCCUCCCUGCUCUUGCAAUUUAAUUAAGCACAGUGAGAGGGUUUGAGAGUAUCCUCACGAAAAGACAAUUUUGGUAGCAUUUGGG